rnacentral:rRNA from 1 species
GACAUAGGUCGCAAACGUUAUCCGGAAUUAUUGGGCGUAAAGGAUGCGUAGAUUGUUCAGUAAGUUACUGGUGGGAAAUCGAGGCCCAACCUCGUGGAAGUCAGUAAUACUGCUGAACUUGAGUACAGGAGAGGUUAACGGAAUGGUUCGUGUAGGGGUAAAAUCCGCAGAUAUGAACUGGAACAUCAAUAUGGCGAAGGCAGUUAACUAUUCUGUUACUGACGUUUGAGGCAUGAAAGCGUGGGGGAGCAAAAACGG